rnacentral:rRNA from 1 species
UACGUAGGGUGCAAGCGUUAAUCGGAAUUACUGGGCGUAAAGCGUGCGCAGGCGGUAAUGUAAGACAGUUGUGAAAUCCCCGGGCUCAACCUGGGAACUGCAUCUGUGACUGCAUUGCUGGAGUACGGCAGAGGGGGAUGGAAUUCCGCGUGUAGCAGUGAAAUGCGUAGAGAUGCGGAGGAACACCGAUGGCGAAGGCAAUCCCCUGGGCCUGUACUGACGAUCAUGCACGAAAGAGUGGGGAGCAAACAGG